rnacentral:rRNA from 1 species
UGGGGAAUAUUGGACAAUGGGCGCAAGCCUGAUCCAGCAAUGCCGCGUGUGUGAAGAAGGCCUUCGGGUUGUAAAGCACUUUUAUCAGGAGCGAAACGCUGUCGGCUAAUACCCGGCGGAACUGACGGUACCUGAGGAAUAAGCACCGGCUAACUUCGUGCCAGCAGCCGCGGUAAUACGAAGGGUGCAAGCGUUAAUCGGAAUUACUGGGCGUAAAGCGUGCGUAGGCGGUGACUGAAGUCUGCUGUGAAAUCCCCGGGCUCAACCUGGGAAUGGCAGUGGAUACUGGGUCGCUAGAGUGUGAUAGAGNAUGGUGGAAUUCCCGGUGUAGCGGUGAAAUGCGUAGAGAUCGGGAGGAACAUCAGUGGCGAAGGCGGCCAUCUGGAUCAACACUGACGCUGAGGCACGAAAGCGUGGGGAGCAAACA